rnacentral:rRNA from 1 species
GAUGAACGCUGACAGAAUGCUUAACACAUGCAAGUCAACUGUGGCGGACGGGUGAGUAACGCGUAAAUAACUUGCCUCACAGAUAGGUACAACAUUUGGAAACGAAUGCUACUACCUGAUACUGUGAGAGCGCUUUGCGUCCCAUUAGCUAGUUGGAGAGGUAACGGCUCACCAAGGCGAUGAUGGGUAGCCGGCCUGAGAGGGUGAGCGGCAAAAAGGGGACUGAGACACGGCCCUUACGCCGACGGGAGGAAGGAUAGGGGAAGAUUGGACAAUGGACCAAAGUCUGAUCCAGCAAUUCUGUGUGCGCGAUGAAGUUGUCGGAAUGUAAAGUGCUUGCAGUUGGGAAGCGGUAACAACAGAAGAAGUGACGGAUAAAUACGUGCCAGCAGCCGCGGUAAUAC